rnacentral:rRNA from 1 species
UCUUGGUCAUUUAGAGGAAGUAAAAGUCGUAACAAGGUUUCCGUAGGUGAACCUGCGGAAGGAUCAUUAUCGUAGGGCUUCGGCCCUGUCGAGAUAGAACCCUUGCCUUUUUGAGUACCUUUCGUUUCCUCGGCAGGCUCGCCUGCCAAUGGGGACCACAAAAAACACUUUGCAGUACCUGUAACAGUCUGAACAAACAAAACAAAAAUUAAAACUUUCAACAACGGAUCUCUUGGUUCUGGCAUCGAUGAAGAACGCAGCGAAAUGCGAUAAGUAGUGUGAAUUGCAGAAUUCAGUGAAUCAUCGAAUCUUUGAACGCACAUUGCGCCCUUUGGUAUUCCUUAGGGCAUGCCUGUUCGAGCGUCAUUUAAACCUUCAAGCUAAGCUUGGUGUUGGGUGACUGUCCGCUUCACUGCGGACUCGCCUCAAAAUUAUUGGCGGCCGGUACAUUGGCUUCGAGCGCAGCAGAAACGCGAACUCGGGCCCGUCGUAUUGGCUCCCAGAAGCUAUCUUCACAAUUUUGACCUCGGAUCAGGUAGGGAUACCCGCUGAACUUAAGCAUAUCAAUAAGCGGAGGA